rnacentral:rRNA from 1 species
UCAAAUYUGCCCUAUGAUUAAUUUUAAAUGGCUGCAGUAUUUUGACUGUACAAAGGUAGCAUAAUCAAUAGUUUUUUAAUUAAAAGCUGGAAUGAAUGAUUUAAUAAGGUAAUUAUUGUCUCAAUAUUAAUAAAAUUAGAAUUUUUUUUUUAGUAAAAAUACUAAAUUAAAUUUAAAAGACGAGAAGACCCUAUAGAAUUUUAUAAUUUUAAUUAAAUUAAUUAAAAAAAAAAAAUAAAAUUUAAUAAAAAAUUAUUUGGUUGGGGAAAUUAUUAAAUUUAUUUAAUUUUAAUUUAUAUAUAUAACAAAAAUUAUUGAAAAUUUGAUCUUAUUUUUUAAAUUAAUAGAAUAAAUUACCUUAGGGAUAACAGCGUAAUUUUUUUUGAGAGAUCUUAUUGAUAAAAAAGUUUGCGACCUCGAUGUUGAAUUAAGAUAAAAUUUUAAUGUAAAAGUUAAAAAUUUU